rnacentral:rRNA from 1 species
CCUACGGGAGGCAGCAGUGAGGAAUCUUGGUCAAUGGGCGCGAGCCUGAACCAGCCAAGUAGCGUGAAGGAUGACUGCCCUACGGGUUGUAAACUUCUUUUAUAAAGGAAUACAGUGAGGCACGUGUGCCUUUUUGUCUGUACUUUAUGAAUAAGGAUCGGCUAACUCCGUGCCAGCAGCCGCGGUAAUACGGAGGAUCCGAUCGUUAUCCGGAUUUAUUGGGGUUAAAGGUAGUGUAGAUGGGUUGUUAAGUCAGUUGUGAAAGUUUGCGGCUCAAACGUAAAAUUGCAAUUGAUACUGGCAGUCUUGAGUACAGUUGAGGUAGGCGGAAUUCGUGGUGUAGCGGUGAAAUGCUUAGAUAUCACGAAGAACUCCGAUGGCGAAGGCAGCUUACUAAACUGCCACUGACAUUGAUGCUCGAAAGUGUGGGGAUCAAACAGGAUUAGAUACCCCAGUAGUC